rnacentral:snRNA from 1 species
GUACUUGCUUCAGCAACACAUAUAUUAAAAUUGGAACAAUACAGAGAUUAGCAUGGCCCCUACACAAGGAUGACACACACGUUAGUGAAGUGUUCCAUGUUUUU